rnacentral:rRNA from 1 species
UCAAAAACAUGUCUUUUUGAAAAUAAUUUUAAGUYUAAUYUGCUCAAUGAAAUAUUUAAAUAGCUGCGGUAUAUUAACCGUACAAAGGUAGCAUAAUCAAUAGUUUUUUAAUUGAAAGCUGGAAUGAAAGAUUUGAUGAAAUAAAUAUUGUCUCAAAUUUAAUAAAAUUAAAAUUUUUUUUUUAGUAAAAAUACUAAAUUGAUUUUAAAAGACGAGAAGACCCUAUAGAUUUUUAUAAUUAAUAUUUUUUUAAUAAAAAUAAUUAAUUAUUAGAUUGGGGAAAUUAUUAAAUUAGAAAAAUUUUAAUUAUUUUAAACAAGAAUUAUUGAUUAUUUGAUCUUAAUUAUUAUGGAUUUUUAGAAUAAAAUACCUUAGGGAUAACAGCGUAAUUUUUUUAGAGAGAUCAUAUUAAUAAAAAAGUUUGCGACCUCGAUGUUGAAUUAAGAUAAAAUUUUAAUGAAGAAGUUAAAAAUUUUUAGUCUGUUCGACUAUUAAAAUCUUACGUGAUCUGAGUUCA